rnacentral:sRNA from 1 species
UUGCGAUGUGCACUUCGCGUUAGCGCCGC